CAUGCAAUCCUUAACUCAUGGUGUAGCUGCAGUCAUUCCAAAAAAAAAUGCAGUCCUUAAUUCUUGUUGUAGUCGCAGUCAUUCGUCCAAAAAAUCAUGCACUCCUUAAUUCAUGGUGUAGUUGCUCUUAUUUCAAAAAAAUAUGUGCUCCUAAUUCAUGUUGCAUGUGUAGUCCAAAAAAUUUGCAGUCCCUAUUUCAUGAUUAUUAAUUGCAGUCAGUCCAAAAAAACAUGUGGUCAAUCCCAAUUUCCAUGGUGUUGUCUUAUUAAUUGCAGUUAGUCCAAACAAAUGUGAAGUCAGUCCAAAUUUGCAUGCUAUUUGCACUUGGUCCAAGCAUUACUAGCCUACUCAAUAUUAUUUGCUAGCAGCCAAGACAGUGAAAUUAAACACGCAAACUACUAGAACAUCCAUCUAUAUAUAUUGACCCUCCCAUUCUGAAUCCAUCACAACCUAUCUCUCUUUUCUUUUCAAAAGUACUAUGCCAGACUCAUCCUCCUCAGAUGACCUAGACCCAUCCAAAUUUCUUGACAAAUACAUCUCUGAUAUGAAUGUCCUAGAUUCCUUUGCUACAGAAUUGUAUAGAAGAUCAAGGCGAAGUUUGCGGCUAUGCUAGUCCAGCGCCUGGGAGGAACAAGGAAGACUAUUGCAAGGGAUCAUGGAGAAGGUCACUGACGUCUUGUGGCUGAUUACUUUGCAGAUAAGCCACUGUACUCUGAGAGAAGGUUUUGCACAAGAUUUCGUAUGCGAAAGCAUCUCUUUUUACGCAUCGUGCAAGCCCUAGGUCACUGGUCUCCGUAUUUUAUUCCAAGAGAAGAUUGUUCUGGUCGCAUAGGCCUUUCUCCACUUCAAAAGUGCACAACAGCGAUUUGUAUGUUAGCAUAUGGCACGCCUGCUGAUGCCUUAGAUGAGUACUUGCUAAUCGGCAAGAGCACAUCCUUAGAGUGUUUGGACACUUUUGCUUACGGAAUAGUUGAGGUUUUUGGUGGGCAAUAUUUGCGAUGACCCACAAGUGAGGAUUUAGAGCGUAUACUACAAGUUAAUGAGUCUCGUGGCUUUCCGGGUAGGCUAGGAAGUAUCGAUUGCAUGCAUUGAAGGUGGAAGAGUUGUCCGAGAGCUUCGAGGGGCCAAUUCACUCGUGGUGACUACAAGGUCCCAACAAUGAUCCUUGAAGUGGUUGCUUCACAUGACCUUUGGAUUUGGCAUUCUUUCUUUGGUGUCGCUGGUUCUAACAGCGACAUCAAUGUGCUGAAUCAGUCACCCUUAUUCCUAGAACAAGUUAGAGGGGAGGCUCCUCAGUUCAUUUUUUUCUAACGGGAACAAGUAUAACAAUGGGUAUUACCUUGCUGAUGGUAUAUACCCAGAUUGGGCCAGCUUCAUCAAGACUAUAUCAAUUCCAUAAAUAGAGAAGCAUAAAUUGUUUGCUGAACGUCAAGAGGGGGCAAUGAAAGAUGUGGAGCGAGCUUUUGGAGUGUUGCAAGCACAUCUCAACAUUGUGCGCCGUCCAGCAAAGAGGUGGAACGAAAGAGUGUUGGGAAAAUAAUGCUAGCUUGUGUGAUUCUCCACAAUAUGAUUGUUGAAGAUGAGAAAGUGGAUGCAACAUGUGACCUACCUCAAUAGAAUUCGUAGGACAUCAAUAGUUCUGCCUCCUAAAGUAACUUCUGGUGAUAAUCCAUGUUUUAGUGAUGUCCUACGCAGAAAAUCUGCUAUUUGUGAUCGUUCUAUGCAUACCUCCAACUGAAAUCUGAUUUAAUUGAGCAUAUUUGGCAUCGUUUUGGAGAUAUCAGCAGGCAUAAACAUGGUACAUGCUUUGCUCUGCUAUCCAAAUCAUGGUGCUGCACUUCUUACAGGUUAAAUGAUCACUCAGCCAACUAAUAUGAUGCAACAAUUCUGCUAUCAACGGUCUAUCUUUAAUUAGAUGAAGAAACCAUUGCCUCAUUCGGUGGAAUAUAUAUAUUUUGCUUAAUGUCCAAUUGUUGAUGUGACUUUUGGAACUAUAAACCGUUAUGUCUGUUUUUCUUUAUCGAUAAUAUUAUCCCGUUAUGUUGGUUUUAUGGAACUGUAAUAACUGCAGCUAUCCUUUAGUACCUUGCCCUUUUGUAUAAGACUUGUGUUUGAACUAGGAUAAUAUUAUCGAUAAUCUAUGGUAUUUAAUGAUAGUGUCCUGUGAUUUUUGUACUGAACAGAAUAUAAUUAGUAUUGUGUUUGAUAUGCCCUUGUACAAAUGGAUACAAAGAUACA